rnacentral:rRNA from 1 species
UACGUAGGGGGCAAGCGUUGUCCGGAAUCACUGGGCGUAAAGCGCGCGCAGGCGGUCAUCUACGUCUGGGGUGAAAGCCCGGAGCUCAACUCCGGGAUUGCCUUGGAUACGGGAUGACUUGAGGAUCGGAGAGGCAAGGGGAAUUCCACGUGUAGCGGUGAAAUGCGUAGAGAUCAGGAAGAACACCGGUGGCGAAGGCGCUCUGCUAGGCCGCAACUGACACUGAGGGACGAAAGCUAGGGGAGCGAAUGGG